rnacentral:rRNA from 1 species
AUGGCUAGUCCUUCUAUCAUUGUUAGUACUCCUGAUAAUGAAGUUCUUAAUUUUAAACAAAGGGAGGGAGAAAAUCUAAAAGACGCUUGGUAUAGAAUUUGCAAUGCUCAGAAUGGAUCCACUAGGAAGCAAUCUACUUCCAUUCUUCUUCGCAAUUUUUAUGUAGGCAUCACUCCUUGGAACAGAUAUAUUCUUGAUACCAUUACCGGAGGGAAUUUCUUGGGUAGCCAUACUUUUGAUUCUUAUAAUGCUAUGUUAGAUUUGUUUGGCCCACCACCUCUUUUGGUCAAUGGAACUAUUUUUAACUUUGGAACAUGUGAUGCAAAGGCUUGA